rnacentral:lncRNA from 1 species
AAGACCAGUUGUAGAGCGUACUGAACGACUUGAAGUCCUGGAUCAUCAGACCAAGGCUUAAUUUGCAUAACUUUUUCGAGCCAUUUGAGGAUUAACUCUAGUCAUAGGAUAAAACCAGGCCAACCCUUGUCCACCCCUUGCCCCUAAAUUACAAAACAUAGAUCAGUUUAUUUCCCGCAAUAUAGCAGAGUUUAUGAAACUUAACCCCCUACACUUUAAAGGUAGCCUUGAUCCUU